rnacentral:rRNA from 1 species
AGAGCGAACGCUGGCGGCGUGCUUAACACAUGCAAGUCGAACGCGCAGCAGUUUGUAGCAAUACAGAUUGUGGGCGCGUGGCGAACGGGUGCGUAACACGUGGAUAACCUUCCUUCAGGUGGGGAAUAACCCAGUGAAAAUUGGGCUAAUACCGCAUAACAUGACGAUGCCACAUGGUGUUGUCUUCAAAGGCGCAAGUCGCCAGAAGAGGGAUCCGCGGCCGAUUAGCUAGUUGGCGAGGUAAUGGCUCACCAAGGCAAUGAUCGGUAGCCGGACUGAGAGGUUGGCCGGCCACACUGGAACUGAGACACGGUCCAGACUCCUACGGGAGGCAGCAGUGGGGAAUCUUGCACAAUGGACGAAAGUCUGAUGCAGCAACGCCGCGUGGGGGAUGAAGCUUUUCGGAGUGUAAACCCCUUUCGACCCGGAAGAAAGCCCGCAAGGGUUUGACGGUACGGGUAUAAGAAGCCCCGGCUAACUACGUGCCAGCAGCCG